rnacentral:rRNA from 1 species
GAUGAACGCUGGCGGCGUGCUUAACACAUGCAAGUCGAACGGUGAAGGCGGAGCUUGCUCUGCUGGAUCAGUGGCGAACGGGUGAGUAACACGUGAGCAAUCUGCCCCUGACUCCGGGAUAAGCGCUGGAAACGGCGUCUAAUACUGGAUACGAGCUGCGAAGGCAUCUUCAGCAGCUGGAAAGAACUUCGGUCAGGGAUGAGCUCGCGGCCUAUCAGCUUGUUGGUGAGGUAACGGCUCACCAAGGCGUCGACGGGUAGCCGGCCUGAGAGGGUGACCGGCCACACUGGGACUGAGACACGGCCCAGACUCCUACGGGAGGCAGCAGUGGGGAAUAUUGCACAAUGGGCGAAAGCCUGAUGCAGCAACGCCGCGUGAGGGACGACGGCCUUCGGGUUGUAAACCUCUUUUAGCAGGGAAGAAGCGAAAGUGAUGGUACCUGCAGAAAAAGCGCCGGCUAACUACGUG